GGGCCCGUAGUCUAGCGGUUAAGGGUAUCCGCAGAGGAUGCCGCCCUUACGAGGCGGAGGUCCCGGGUUCGAAUCCCGGCGGGCCCA
rnacentral:tRNA from 1 species